rnacentral:lncRNA from 1 species
AUGAAGAAACGCUCAGUGAGCGGUCCUGUCGGAGCGAGAGGUCAUGUCGGAGUGAGCGAUCUUACCGGAGUGAGAGGUCAGGGAGCUUGUCUCCCUGUCCCCCAGGGGACACCUUGCCCUGGAACUUGCCAUUGCAUGAGCAGAAAAAGCGGAAAAGCCAGGAUUCAGUGCUGGACCCUGCAGAACGUGCUGUGGUCAGAGUCGCUGAAAGAUGAUGAAACAACUUUAAAGAGAAACUUGAAAGAGGAAAACCUGCCACCCCAUUCUAACAUGAGACCUGUUUUCAUUUCUGCACCUGCUUCCCUGUGUUUUUCCCAAUUGGCUAUAUUUUGUGUGUAUGACAGCUGCCUUCAUGGCCUCUGUUCCAUAAUGGAUCUGACUCUUCGGCUACCCUUAAAACAAUCUUUGAACUAACAUCUUGGACUUUCUGGCUGUUUUUAAAGACUGUGUAUUUUAUGACUUUCCUAAGUUCUACUCUUUUUCCCACUGUUCUGCCAUAGUAGACAGUGCUAUAGGAAACAUGUUUAUGAAUAAUAAC